GACGAACGCUGGCGGCGUGCUUAACACAUGCAAGUCGAACGGAAAGGCCCCUUUGGGGGUACUCGAGUGGCGAACGGGUGAGUAACACGUGAGUAACCUGCCCUUGACUUCGGGAUAACUUCAGGAAACUGGGGCUAAUACCGGAUAGGAAUCCUUGCUGCAUGGUGGGGGUUGGAAAGCUUCGGCGGUUUUGGAAGGACUCGCGGCUUAUCAGCUUGUUGGUGGGGUAGUGGCUUACCAAGGCUUUGACGGGUAGCCGGCCUGAGAGGGCGACCGGCCACAUUGGGACUGAGAUACGGCCCAGACUCCUACGGGAGGCAGCAGUGGGGAAUAUUGCACAAUGGGCGGAAGCCUGAUGCAGCAACGCCGCGUGCGGGAUGACGGCCUUCGGGUUGUAAACCGCUUUCAGCAGGGGCGAAGCUUGUGGUGACGGUACCUGCAGAAGAAGCACCGGCUAACUACGU
rnacentral:rRNA from 1 species